rnacentral:rRNA from 1 species
AACGUAGGGGACAAGCGUUAUCCGGAUUUACUGGGCGUAAAGCGCCCGUAGGCGGCCUGACAAGUUGGACGUGAAAGCUCCUGGCUUAACUGGGAGAGGCCGUUCAAAACUGUCAAGCUAGAGUCUGGAAGAGGAGAGCGGAAUUCCCGGUGUAGUGGUGGAAUGCGUAGAGAUCGGGGGGAACACCCGUGGCGAAGGCGGCCGGCUGGGCCGGACCUGACGCUGAGGCGCGAAGGCGUGGGGAGCGAACGGG